rnacentral:rRNA from 1 species
AUUGAACGCUGGCGGCAGGCCUAACACAUGCAAGUCGAGCGAGCGGCGGACGGGUGAGUAAUGUAUGGGAAACUGCCUGAUGGAGGGGGAUAACUACUGGAAACGGUAGCUAAUACCGCAUACCAUCGGAUGUGCCCAGAUGGGAAUAGCUAGUAGGUGGGGUAACGGCUCACCUAGGCGACGAUCCCUAGCUGGUCUGAGAGGAUGAUCAGCAACACUGGGACUGAGACACGGCCCAGACUCCUACGGGAGGCAGCAGUGGGGAAUAUUGCACAAUGGGCGCAAGCCUGAUGCAGCCAUGCCGCGUGUAUGAAGAAGGCCUUCGGGUUGUAAAGUACUUUCAGCGGGGAGGCGUUACCGGCAGAAGAAGCACCGGCUAACUCCGUGCCAGCAGCCGCGGUAAUUC